rnacentral:rRNA from 1 species
AGUGAACGCUGGCGGUAGGCCUAACACAUGCAAGUCGAACGGCAGCACAGUAAGAGCUUGCUCUUACGGGUGGCGAGUGGCGGACGGGUGAGGAAUACAUCGGAAUCUACUUUUUCGUGGGGGAUAACGUAGGGAAACUUACGCUAAUACCGCAUACGACCUACGGGUGAAAGCAGGGGAUCUUCGGACCUUGCGCGAUUGAAUGAGCCGAUGUCGGAUUAGCUAGUUGGCGGGGUAAAGGCCCACCAAGGCGACGAUCCGUAGCUGGUCUGAGAGGAUGAUCAGCCACACGGGAACUGAGACACGGUACAGACUCCUACGGGAGGAAGCAGUGGGGAAUAUUGGACAAUGGGGGAAAGCCUGAUCCAGCCAUACCGCGUGGGUGAAGAAGGCCUUCGGGUUGUAAAGCCCUUUUGUUGGGAAAGAAAAGCAGCAGGUUAAUACCCCGCUGUUCUGACGGUACCCAAAGAAUAAGCACCGGCUAACUUCGUG